GGGGUUGUAGCUCAGUGGUAGAGUGGAUGCCUAGCGUGCACGAGAUCCUGGGUUCCAUCUCCAGCACCUCCA
rnacentral:tRNA from 1 species